rnacentral:ncRNA from 1 species
GGUAGUAGCAAAUAGUCGAGACUUUGGAGUACUGAAGUGGAGAAGGGUUUCGUAUGAACAGUGGUUGAUCCUAGUUAGUCGGUCCUAAGUUCAAGGCGAAAGCUGAAAAUUUUCAAGUUAUAUAUUAAAACAGUAUAUAUAAAAUAAUGUGUAAAACACUUGAAAAUAAUUGAACGAACGGGAAUACGGUACCAAUUUCGUACCCUAUUGAGUAUCCGUUUGUUUAUUAAAUGUGGGCCUUGUACUCAUCCUGGCAACAGAAACAACCAUAAAGAAGCCGUCGAGAGUUAUCGGCAGAGUUUUCUUUUCUAUUUUAUAGUCGUAUUACCAUGGUAAUUGGUUGAAUCUUUGUGGAGAAAGAGUUCUAAUCACGUCAAAUUUUAUAUCGUCGCAUCCUAAUAAUGCCGACUUUUCUUGUUGAAAUCGUUUGAAAGUUCAUUAAACGAAAUUCCCUAACCGGCGUAUCGAUUGAAAGGAAAGUUGUUAUGGUA